rnacentral:tRNA from 1 species
CGCUAAGAAGCUAAAUAGGAACAAAGCGUCAGCCUUUUAAGCUGAAGAAUGGUGCCCUCCAAACACCCCUAGCGA